rnacentral:misc_RNA from 1 species
UUUCAUUUCAUUUUCAUUACUCAAAGUUCAUUUUCUACAGCUCGGAAAUGGCUUCUCAAAUCUCAUUUUUCGAGUUGAAUACUGGGGCUAAGAUCCCCUCCGUCGGACUCGGAACUUGGCUAGCAGCUGAAGGUCUCCUCAGUAACGCCAUUGCUGCCGCCGUCAAGAUCGGGUAUCGCCAUAUUGAUUGUGCUCAAAUCUAUGGCAACGAGAAAGAGAUUGGUUCAGUACUCAAGAAGCUUUUUGAAGAUGGUGUAGUUAAGCGUGAGGAUUUGUGGAUCACUUCCAAACUCUGGUGUACUGAUCAUGCUCCAGAAGACGUUCCAGCAGCACUUGAUAGAACCUUGAAAGAUUUGCAGCUUGAUUAUGUUGAUCUAUACCUAAUCCAUUGGCCAAUUCGGAUGAAACAUGGAUCUGUUGGCUUGGACCCUGAAAACUGUGUUGCGCCGGACAUACAGAGCACAUGGAGAGCCAUGGAAGCACUAUUUGAUUCUGGAAAAGCCCGAGCUAUUGGUGUUAGCAAUUUCACCAUCAAGAAACUCAAAGAUUUGCUCGAGGUAGCUCGCAUUCCUCCGGCUGUCAAUCAGGUGGAGUGUCACCCAGGUUGGAAGCAGGACAAAUUACAUGAAUAUUGCAAAUCAAAAGGAAUUCAUCUAAGUGGAUACUCUCCAUUGGGUUCACGGGGGUCAACUUGGUUCAAGAAUGAUGAUAUUCUUAAAAAUCCAAUUUUUAAAGAGAUUGCUGAUAAACUUGGUAAGACUCCUGCACAAGUUGCCCUUCGUUGGGGGCUACAAAAGGGCCAUAGUGUGCUUCCAAAAAGUACUACCGAGUCAAGGAUCAAAGAGAAUUUCGACAUUUUCGAUUGGUCCAUACCUGAAGAUUUGUUUGCUAAGUUUUCUGAGUUCCAUCAGGCAAGGAUUGUGUUAGGAACCAUAUUUACGUGUGAGAAUGGUCUGUACCGAACGGUUGAGGAAUUGUGGGAUGGAGAAAUCUAAAGGUGUUUGGUAUACUAUCAUUUGGAGGGUAGAAAGAGAAUCUCCUUCGCAGUGUUUUUUUGGUACAACGGUUGUAUGAAAAUAACUCAAGUUCUUAAAUAGUCAUUGUGGGAACUUUCGGGCUGUAGGUUUCAUUCCAAGUUAUUGGGUUUCUUCUUCUUGUAGAGGAGGUCUAGUGUUAAGAGUAUAUGUCUGGAGAUGCCUUAUAGUUUGUUCGAAAUAGACUCAUGACUGUGGCAGAAGGGAAGUAGAGAUUGUUUGACUGAACUCGGACCCUUUGCGCCGGCUCCAAUGAUUUUGACCUCCACAUCGAACCGAGUGGUGGGAAGCAAUAGAAGAAUUGAAGGACAUAACUAUCCAAUUGAACAACUCCAAUUGCGCAACUAUUUACUUUUCAGUAACAUCAAAUUGUAAAAGGUCUAUUGACAAUUUCAAUUAUGUUGUACGUUAUUGGGUUGAACGAAUAUGUUCUAAUUUGAAUAAUGGAUUUGUGAUCUAAA